GAUGAAGAACGUAGCGAAAUGCGAUACUUGGUGUGAAUUGCAGAAUCCCGUGAACCAUCGAGUCUUUGAACGCAAGUUGCGCCCGAAGCCAUUAGGCCGAGGGCACGCCUGCCUGGGCGUCACACGUCGUUGCCCCCCCAUCUACUCCUUCGGGAUUGCGGGGGGCGGAUGAUGGCCUCUCGUGCGCCUCGUCGCGCGGUUGGCCUAAAUGCCAAGUCCUCGGCGACGCACGCCACGACAAUCGGUGGUUGCGAAACCUCGGUUGCCUGUCGUGUGCGGUCGUCGCGCAUCGAGGGCUCGAAAAAAUUGCCGGGCUUCGGCUCGACUUUCAACGCGACCCCAAGUCAGGCGGGGUUACCCGCUGAAUUUAAGCAUAUCAAUAAGCGGAGGA
rnacentral:misc_RNA from 1 species